rnacentral:rRNA from 1 species
AGUGAACGCUGGCGGUAGGCCUAACACAUGCAAGUCGAACGGCAGCACAGUAAGAGCUUGCUCUUACGGGUGGCGAGUGGCGGACGGGUGAGGAAUACAUCGGAAUCUACUUUUUCGUGGGGGAUAACGUAGGGAAACUUACGCUAAUACCGCAUACGACCUACGGGUGAAAGCAGGGGAUCUUCGGACCUUGCGCGAUUGAAUGAGCCGAUGUCGGAUUAGCUAGUUGGCGGGGUAAAGGCCCACCAAGGCGACGAUCCGUAGCUGGUCUGAGAGGAUGAUCAGCCACACUGGAACUGAGACACGGUCCAGACUCCUACGGGAGGCAGCAGUGGGGAAUAUUGGGCAAUGGGCGCAAGCCUGAUCCAGCCAUACCGCGUGAGUGAUGAAGGCCUUCGGGUUGUAAAGCCCUUUUGUUGGGAAAGAAAAGCAGCAGGUGAAUACCCCGCUGUUCUGACGGUACCCAAAGAAUAAGCACCGGCUAACUUCGUG